rnacentral:rRNA from 1 species
AGAGUUUGAUCCUGGCUCAGAUUGAACGCCUGGCGGUAUGCUUUACACAUGCACAGUCGAACGGGCUUGGGGGCUCUGCUCCCGGGCUAGUGGCGAACGCGUGAGUAAUAUAUCCGGAACAUAUCCGGAAGUGGGGGAUAACGUAGCGAAAGUUACGCUAAUACCGCAUAUGCCCUGAGCGGGGAAAGGCGGGGGAUCGCAACGACCUCUCGCUUUCAGAGNGGCNAAAUACCGGAUUAGCUAGAUGGUGAGGUAAAGGCUCUCCAUGGCGACGG